UUUUCUCUAACAAGGGGAUGUAGAGAUAGGAUGAGGGGGAAUGGUUUUAAACUGAAAGAGGGGAGAUUUAGAUGAGAUCUAAGGCAGAAAUUGUUCCCUGUGCGGGGGGUGAGGCUCUGGCCCAGGG